AAAGAUUAAAAUUAUAUUUCAUUAAUUCCAAGCUUGUUUGGUGGAACAGUCGCUUUGAGCUGUGUUCUCUCAAAUCUUUCUCGAUCCCUAGCUCUGCAUUCUCCACUAAUUGUCCCAAAUGUCUCUGCAACCCUAACUUUAACUCUCCACUCUCUACGCACUGAUUCUCUUAAAUGUCUCUGCAACCCUAACUUCAACUCUUCACUCUCCACGCACUCUCCACUCUCCACGCACUGAUUCUCUCAAAUCUCUCUCGAACCCUAUCUUCAACCAUCCACUCUCGACGCAUUGAAACUCUCAUCUCUCGAACGCACUGAAACACUCGAGCUGUGUUCGUGCGAAAAACCUUUUGAGGAAUCUCCUUGUGCCUCGUUGAGGAAUCUUGUUCAGCACCUUCGUUUCACCUCCGUGGUUCGGUGGCGGUCUUCGUUAGGGUGACGCUAAGACCUUCAUCUGCCACAACCACCGCCAUCGCCACUGCCACCGCGAGGCUUGGAUAGAAUCGGAGCAACCAUAGCAGCAAUCAUUUAGGUUGAACCGGAUGAGUGAAGGGUCAUGAAGGGGCUAUGUGCUUUUCUAAUAUCAUGACGUGGACAAUAGUAGUGAUAAAAACUGGUUCAGAGGUUGAGUGGAUAUGAAUAUUGUUGAUUGAUGAAAAGAAAGAACACAAUUUUUCUGGAUAUUUGAGAGAUCCAGGACUCUACUUUGCUGCAGUACCGACUCUCCAAUUGACUUCCCACUCCUCUCAACACCUCUCCCUAUUUAUAGGCAACACCGUUUAUGUCUCUUAACUAUUCUAGCUCUCAACUACACAAGCCUAAUUAGUUUAGGUGAAUAGCCUGAGGCUGCUGGCAGAGCUGACCCCACCCAGCAACUCAAAAUAGAUUUCACUCCUCCUAGAUUAAACACAAAUAUUUGAAUGCUCCAAUGCUCUUCCUGCACACAUGUCUCCUCUUUCUCUUAAACCUCCCCAUUCUGUUUUAUCCACUCUUCCCCUCCUCUUUCUCUUUCUUUCUAUUUCUUGCUACCCCUCUCUAUUUCUCUCAUCUAUCUCACCCAAAUUUCUUGAGUGAAGUUUUCCUUUGGAAAUGUACCCUUCAUACAUUCAGACAGUAAAUCUGGGAUAGAACACUGCCAGAUAGAAAUGAUUAUUAUACCUUCAUACCAGGGAUGGUUGUAAAAAUUUUCUAUCUCUAUAGAAAAGAAAGCAUGAAAGUGGCCAAUGGCUUGAAAUUGAAGCUACCGAAGUCACACCCAAUCGUGUUGACACCUGUGCAGUUAAUGCUUUUGUCUUCUGCCCAGGUACACCAUUUGCCUUCAAGGGUGGUUUCUUGGUUGGUCCAGAUUUUGCUUGACUUGGAAAAACCUUUGGCUGACUUACUCAAGCAGAUGCAAGACGUUCAAUGAUGGAAUUCCUGAUGACUGGUUUGUCCAAUUUCUUAGUCUCCUCAUUGGAUGAAUGUAUCUUAGGAUUCCCUUUCUUUGCAGAAGUCAAGGAAGUCUUGGUUUCAAUUUCAGUCUUCUUAGAAGCAUUUCUUUCAGUAAUUCUUUUCUGCAUCUGAAUCAUCAUAUCCUCCUUUCUCUUUCUAUUUUCCUCCUUCUACAAAUAAAAGAGGACAAUAGAUGUGAAAAAUUAUCGGUAAGAAAAUAAGGCACUGCAACAAUUAAAUUAUCGUCAUUUGCAUCCUCUUUUGUUUUUUAAAUUAUCCAUUUAUAUUAAAAAAAACAAACUCAAUUAAAAUUUCCUCGUACUCCAUCAGUAAUACAAAAAAAAGGAAUCAAUAUUAUUGUCGAUUUUUUCAUAUUAAAAAAAUGUUACACAAAGAGCUCAUUGAAAGUUAUAUAUAAAAAAAUGAGGAAAAUUGUCUAAACUUAUUAAAAGAGCUCAUUGUGGAUUUUUUUCAUAUUAAAAUAAUAUUACACAAAGAGCUCACUGAAAUUUAUAUAUAUAAAAAUAAAAAAUAAAAAUUUCAAAUGGUCGAGGAAAAUUGUCUAAACUUCUACAUUUUUUAUUUAUAAAUAAAUCCUAAAAUCGUGGUACCAAACGCAAACCAAAACUGAAAUAUAAACUCAGAAAGUUGCAUCAGAAUGAAGAAGACAUAGAUUUGUGGCACGAAAACAAGAGCUUUUAUUAAUCUCCUUACACAAGGAACAAAGCCUGAAAGGGCUUCAUCCAUUUUAGAGAGAGCUUACAUAA